AUACGGAGGGAGCGAGCGUUAAUCGGAAUUACUGGGCGUAAAGCGCGCGUAGGCGGCUUUGUAAGUCGGAUGUGAAAGCCCUGGGCUCAACCUGGGAAUUGCAUUCGAUACUGCAGAGCUAGAGUAUGGUAGAGGGAAGUGGAAUUUCCGGUGUAGCGGUGAAAUGCGUAGAUAUCGGAAGGAACACCAGUGGCGAAGGCGACUUCCUGGGCCAAUACUGACGCUAAGGUGCGAAAGCGUGGGGAGCAAACAGGAUUGAUACCCCGGUAGUCC
rnacentral:rRNA from 1 species